AUCUUGGGCUCAAGGAGUACUUGAUAGUCUGCAGAUAAUCAAGAGUCAAACAUAAUGUUGAAUUUAUAAACUGCAAUGGAGUAAUGAAUGAUGUCUAUAUGUUGACACAUAUAGUAAUGAUGUCUAUAUGUUGUUACUUUUUUAUACUUUAACAUUAUUUCAUUUGUACCUCUAACAAAUCAAGAGUUGAUACUUGUAUCUUUACUUUUCACAGGAUUAAAGCAGGUUCCACUCCUGCCUUG
rnacentral:lncRNA from 1 species